AGUGAACGCUGGCGGCGUGCCUAAUACAUGCAAGUCGAACGGUGAAGUCCUAGCUUGCUAGGAUGGAUUAGUGGCGCACGGGUGAGUAAUAUAUAGUUAAUCUGCCCUACACAGAGGAACAACAGUUGGAAACGACUGCUAAUACCUCAUACUCCUAUUUGACAUAAGUUAAAUAGGGAAAGUCUUUUCGGUGUAGGAUGAGACUAUAUCGUAUCAGCUAGUUGGUAAGGUAAUGGCUUACCAAGGCUAUGACGCGUAACUGGUCUGAGAGGAUGAUCAGUCACAUUGGAACUGAGACACGGUACAAACUCCUACGGGAGGCAGCAGUAAGGAAUAUUGCGCAAUGGGGGAAACCCUGACGCAGCAACGCCGCGUGGAGGAGGACACUUUUCGGAGCGUAAACUCCGUUUAUCAGGAAAGAAUAAUGACGGUACCGGAUGAAUAAGCACCGGCUAACUCCGUG
rnacentral:rRNA from 1 species